rnacentral:lncRNA from 1 species
UCUAAGCAUGAAACACUUAUUAAGUUCCUAUUACAUGAAGGCACGAAUAGUACAUCUCUAAGAAAAAGCUUGAAUCCUUCGGUUAGCUCCAAGGAGACGUCACCUAUAGCUUCAACUUUUGCUUGGACACCAUUUGCGACUUCAAUACUUCUUUCUUUUUAGCACAUGGUCCUCGUCAAACUGAACCCCUGUAAAGAGUUUGCAACAUGAACAAUUGCUCCUGAGUCAAUCCACGAAGUAGAUUUUAAAAACUUUAAAUACAAAGAUUCAUUUACAAAGGAAACAAUAUCGUUACCUGUCUUUGACAUGAAGGCCUUUAGCCAGGCAGGGCAGUUCUUCUUAUAGUGGCCUUUCUCUUGACAGUACAUACAAGUGUCCUUGUCUACUGUUAUAGGCUUUUGCUGAUAAUGAGCGGGAGCUUUGCCUUGAGCUUUGCCCUAUGGCUUUGAGGGAGAACCUUUGUUGGGUUGGAAAACCUUUUUCUUUUCCUUCACAUAGUUCAAGGAACCACCAUGUGAAGUUUUGAUUCUCUCCUCUUCAUGUGAACACAUGGCAAUGACCUUUUCUAUGUCCCAUGUCUCGGGUUGCAUGUUGUAGUUCACAACAAAGGUCUCUAAUUCCUUAGGCAGCGAAGCCAUGGUGGACAAGGAGAGCUGGUUUGAUCUCCAGAUCCACAUCCAUGGGCUUAAGCUUGGCUGUCGUAUUGCUCAUCCUAAGGAUGUGCUCCCUUAUGCCAUGGCCACCUCCAUUGUAGCUCUCUGUCACCAGUUGUUUGAUCAACUGGGUGGCAUAUGUCUUAGAAGAGCCAGUAAACUGACUCUUUAUCUUGUUUAGCAUCUCCUUUGCAAUAGGGCACUCUACAAUUGAGCCCACAAUGGUGGUCUCAAUUGUAUUCUUUAUAAAUGUCAAACAUUUCUCGUUGGCAUUUAUCCAUAACCUGUUGCAUAUGGAGUAGGACAUCUCUUCUUUGCCAGUAUCCCAUUACUUUUUCGCCCAACUCUCAUCACCCUCAUCGGCAUCUCUGACUGGGUAUGGAGGUGCAACUGGCUGUGGUUCCUCCAGAACCCAGUCCACCUCAGCAAUGCAGAGAGCCAUGUCAACCUUCUUCCUCCACUUAGAGUAAUUAUCUCCUCUGAGUGUAGGAACGUCCUUUAGGCAGCUCAUUAGGUGAAAACCUCCUGCAAUCACAAUUUAAGCGAGAUCAGUGAGACAAUUAUAUGCAUUAAUUAACAUUGGUUAAAAUAAUCAUACAAUUUUCUAUGCAAAUUAAUCUACAUUACCGUUGGGCAAAUGAUAGAAAUAAAUGCAUCUUUUUGCAAUAUGCAACAUGAUCAGGUUAUUAAACAACGUUGGUCAGAAUAAUAGCAUGACCACAUUUCAUAUUUUACUUAGCAACGGAAAACGUGAAAUUAAAAUUUCAUAUGCCUUUUAACUUUACAGAAAACAAUUCUGUCAUUUAAUAUAAAAUUCAUGAACUUUAUUAAUGCUUUUAUAAAGAUCAUGAACUUUAUUUUUCUGAAAAAACUAUUUUAUUUUCAAAACCUUUUCAUUUUUCUUUUCAAAAAAAUAUUAUUACAAUUCUGUCUAAAUUAACAGAAACUUUGAACAUUUUUAUUUGUUAUUUUCUAAACAUAUUUUCAUAAGGAAAAAAUGCCUGAAAAACUUUUGAAUCUACCUUAAAUAGACAGAAACUAAAAAAUCCUUUUAAAAUAAAGGAAAAUGGCCGACUUGGGCUGGCCUGUGGCCUUUCUCCUUUGGGCCGGCUUGCGGCCAGGCACUGGCACCCCCUCGGCGGCCUGGCGCGGCCGGCGGCGCCCCCUGCGGCCCGUGGUGGGCUGGCCCCUAAGGCCUCGCCUCUCCUUGGCCCAAAAGCUUGCCCUGGCCUAGGGUGUCGGCUUAGAGAAUCCAAGCCGUCCGAGGCGAUCCAACGGCUCCCCACGGGGAUCGGGGGAACAAAAAGGGCAGCCGAGCCGGUCUGCAACCCUAAUCCUUUCAUUUGCCCCCUUCAGCCCGCCGCUCUCUUCUCUCCUUUACUCUCGGCGCGGUGCCUUCUCUUCCGAGCAACCCAUGGCUAGGAAUGGCAUCGGCCGCCGGCGACGAGGUCUACGACCUCCUUCCAUGCGCGCCCUUGGUCCUCCCUCCCGCGCCGGUUGCACUGGAGGUGAGGCACUCGCGUCGCUCGCCUCGUAUGCGACCAGAACGCACUCCCCUUCGCGCCCGUUGGCAGGAGAGGUCGUCGGCCGCCGGCGCAAGGGCUGAGCCCUUUCGACCGCGCGCGCCGUGCCUCCCUCAUCUGUCCCCGGAACCAUGGCCGUCCCCUCGCCGGCUACACACACUCCUUGCGGUGGGUGCGCCGCCGUCGAGCGGUCGUCGGUGGCUCCUUUUCUUUUCUGUGGUAGAGGGGACGAGGGAUCCAGCGGCCCUAUACUUCGUAGCUCCGUUUCCAUCCCCCUCGCCGGCUACGCGUCCACCUUGCGGUGGGCGCACCGCCGUCGAGGGAUUUGGUGAUGGAGUCCUUAGCCCCCGUGGGGUAUCUUUGAUUUUCUUUGCAUGUUCCCCUCCUUUUGUUUGCCUUUUCCGGAUCCGAUCCGUAUUUUUCUUUAUUUUUGUUUUGGAUCUAGAUCCGUUCUUUGCCUCCGAGGAGGUAGGUUCUUCUUCCCCACACCUCAGCUUGCCGAUGCGUGUGGGAAUCGAGAGGAACAGGCGCGGCCUUGCGGCGGCACUACUUUGCCGACGAGGCCCGAGGCCAUCUUCGGUGCUUUCGGGGAGGGGAAAAACUUUCUUUUUCGUUUCUUUGACCGAAACGUAUCUGGUGCCUAGCAGCUCAUGAUACCAUUGAUAGAACACACGGAUCUUCUAGGCAUAGAUAGAUCCGGUAGAACACGCGGUGUUACCUUGUCCUGAGCUGGAUGAGCUCCCACCGGUCUCCAUCGGUGCGGUAGCGACGGCGGUGACGGAGAAGGGGGUUUAGCGUAGGUGAAGCUUCCCGUGAGCACCGUGCUUAACCUAGAUCGGAUAGGUAUGUGGAUAGGGGUGUCACGGCGGCGAAUCUCGUAUUUCGUGCCCCGACACCCCACCGUCCUUUAUAUAACGCGGGUCACAGGGACCCACCAAUCAUAAUGGGUUGGGCGCCCCCGAUCAGGACACAUAGAUCAAGACCCGGUGGGCCGUUGGGCCCACGCGGUGAGAGAUCAACCUAACACCUGGUGCAAUGUAGGAAAAGGCAAAAUCGAGGUCUUUUGGCUGAUGUAACAUAACCAGAGAGCGAAUCUCACAUUUCAAACCAUCUAAGAAUUGUGUAAUGAAAUAUAUGGGAUCAAAUGCCGGGUUAUGAGCUAGGAUGUGAUGCAUCAAUUCUUCGAACCGAACCAUAUAAUCCCCCACAGAGCCCAACUGCCUCAGAGAAUUAAACUGGCGAAGGCGAGCUUGAUACUGCUCUCUACCAAAUUUAGAACAGAGAGCGUUGCAGAGAGACUCCCACGUGACAGAGGCACUCUCUGACUCAUGGAGUUGCAACCAUUGAGCCGCAUUGCCUGUGAAGUUCAGUGUGGCUACCCUGACCCAGAGAUCUAGAACUACUCCGUACACAUCAAAGUAUUUUUCACACUUAGUUCUCCAGAACUGUGGAUUUUCUCCGACAAACAAGGGAAAAUCCAUUUUGGGCAGAGCCCAAUGCGAAUGCUGUAAUGAAUGGUGAUACUGUGCAUCAAGAGAAUAAUGCCCCCCUUCCUCCGGAUCUCACCCUCCCGUAAACGGUACCGAAACAAGUGACUGGAAGGGAGCCGUACCCUUUUCGAGGGUGGUGACCACCCCCUAUG